rnacentral:lncRNA from 1 species
CACCACCGGUUCCCUGUCCUGGAAGCUUCCUGCAGCUGUUUCCCUUCUUGUCAUAGAAAACUGGAAGAGUUUAUUGGAAUUUGUGAGCAGUUUUCUGCUUAGAGUUCACAGACUCUCAAAGUGUAUUUUGAAUGCAUGUGCAUUUCUGCCGGAUUCAGCUAGGUCCUAUUUUAAACAGAUCUGAGACAUAAUCAAAACAAAACGUAUCUAUUUGAAGGUAUAUUUGCUUUCAAAAGGGAUGGGCUAGUAAUAGUAGACUCCCCAGUGCAUUUACUAGUGAGUCUGUUAGCUCUCCGAGGCUUCAAAACAAAGUGUGAGAUGUGCCAGCGAGCAGGCACACACACACACACACACACACACACCUAGCAAGGAAAGAACACCGAUUUUUCUUUAUCCAAUACACUUGACCACACACAUCCCCAUGAGCGCUUUUUCCUUCAAAGUCCUCACCUCAGGAAGCCGAGCUCUUCUGUAGUUUGACCGUGCUGGACAGCUCAUUGUAGUCACUGCAUUUGGCUUCUGAUAUCUCUGGUCGCUUCAGAAGAUGAAAUUCAUCCUUAAAGGACAACUCUCGGUCUCUUCUGAGGAUAUCUGAAAAGCGUACUUCAGAUUCUGAACCCAGGUGUUGACGGCUGCAUGACUGGAACGGGAGCCUGUGUGGAAGGACAAACCUCUUCAGAAGGAGUGGCCCUACCUGUGUAGAGAAAGUCCAAGUCUGUGCUGUUGUCAGAACUGAGUGUGUUUGUUCCACGCGGGCACCUGUCCCCAUCGAUACGAAGGCUGGAGCCUCAGAGAUGGAACGUAACUCACACGGUCACUUAGCUGGCUCAGUCGUCUCCAGGUUUUCUUAUGUCAUCUCUGGCAAGCUGGCUUCUGGGUUACAUGGCAUUGGAGUGCUGCCUGCUUGGCCUGGUUUCAUCGAAGACCAGUUCUUGGCUUUGUGGACUAAGCCCUAUUCCUCCCUGAAAGAAUCAACCUGGGAAUAAAGCCCGGAAGACUUGGUUGUGGCUUCAAGAUAGAAUGCUGUUGAUACGAUUCCCCACAAUGAAAAGGUAAAGUGAUAACUGAUGGAAGUAGGGUGGCAGAAGGAGAGCCAGGAGGGCAGAGGAAGACUGCUUUACUGCCACCCUGAUGCACAUGGUGGAAAGCCAAGAGAUACCUUUAAUGUCGGUGGAAGAAAUGGAAAAUAUCAUCUAAAUUUGCAAAGGUAAGUAAUAGAAAAAAAAAAACACAGCUGGCACCUAUUGUUCAAGGGGUAGUGAGAAGUGUGUAAGUGAGGAAAGCUUCACCUUCCUAACCUGCAGUCAACAGAUAGUUUCUAAAGCGGAGACAUAGGUCUUGUAUCGAACAGGACAGACGAGCUUCUGCUGUGUAACAAACAACCCCCAAAGUCUUAGUCACAGAACAAGACUUAUUUAGCAACACAACAAAGCACAUUUCUAGCUCUUGUUAAUGGUGGGACAGUGACCCCAGGCCUGGGGAUGGGGGUGGGUGGUGGUGUAGGCCCUGCCAGUGGUUUCUGGCUUCAAGGGAGCCACAGGAAGCAGCUUCAGCUGCAUUUAGGAUCCGAGCUGCUCAAGCGGGAGGUUUGGGGCCUUGGCAGAAAUCCAGGAACAGAGCGUAUGACUUGGUCUCCCUUCUUCUACACGACUCCUUGGAUUCUUUGGCAUCUUGGCCAGCCAUACCUUGGCUGUCCGUUUGGAUCUGUAGAGUAAAUUCAGUUUGAUAUUAGGCCUUUCUCAAAGACAGGCAUCAGCCCUAGGGUGGAGUGGGAUAGAAGUUUCCUCUAAAGGUCUCAGGAGCCCAGAGUUUGCUGUGUGGAGUGUGCCUCGAGGGUCCUGGUCUGCCUGUCACCUCCCUAUGGAGCUCCUGAACUCAUGAAAUACAGCCAGCAAAAUAGUCCUCAGGGCCCAGCCUCUCUUCAGUGCACAGGCAUAACUUGGUUUAUAAAUAUUACAUGGAGUUGUUCAUGCACAGCUGGGGGAGAAUAGGCCCCCACUGUCGGGCUCUGUCCAUGGCCUUGUAUUAAUUAACUCUGAUUUUGCAGGGAAUGGACCUGCAACCGUGCACCCUGAGGGCUGUGAUCUUAUCGGGAUUGGGUGAGCUCACAGGCUCGUGGCAGGGAUGGAGGGAACGGGGAACGGAGGCAUCCGGCGGCCAUACCUGGGUCUUCUCGGGGCCUGGACCUGCCGCACUUCUCUGGGGAGGGGCUUUCACAGUCUCCUCGUCCACCCCGUUGGAGAUCCUCCUCAUGGGCCAGGGUCACCAUACGUGGGCACCAACCUUCCCAAACUGAUCCUUCUCAUGGGCCAGGGUCGCCAUGCGUGGGCACCAACCUUCCCAAACUGGAACAUCUCCAAUGACUCCCCUUUCCUUAAAAGAGUUUUGAAGAUCAAUAAAACAUAUUUUUAAAAUUAAUAAAAAAUGUGCAUUGAUUCAGCUUGUCUUCUCUUAGGGGGUGGUGGUGAAGGGGAGAGUAGUGUUUUUCAGAUGUGGACAGCUUCAUUUUGUCCAAAGUUGACUCCUGAGCAAGGCGUUCAGAGCCCUCCGUAGGAGCCCCAGCCCUGAGUUCCACGUGGUAUCUCGGCUUACCCUUUCUAACUCCA